rnacentral:lncRNA from 1 species
GUUGACCCUAGAAACUACAAAGCCUACGUGGCGCGCAGGCCGAGUAAUUAAUAAGCUAACUACGUCCUUCGGUGAAUGCGGGGCGUGCCAACUCAUCGGCCGAGCUCGGCCGAGGAGUAAAUUUGUUGAUGUUGCGUUGGGUGCGCGGCUGACUUCUGCGUCUUGCGAUUGCGGCCGAGAAAGGAACACGUCUCGGCCUCUUGGGCUCUCGAACCUGAAGACAAGGUUACUAUUCUUACGAAGUUCAAUAUCAAAUUCGGCUUUCAAUGUGCCGAACGUAAUAACGUGUAACACCUCACUUCGCCGAGAAGGCUGAUGAGAUGACCUCGACC